GAUGAACGCUGGCGGCGUGCCUAAUACAUGCAAGUCGAGCGAACAGAUCAGCUGCUUGCUCCUUUGACGUUAGCGGCGGACGGCUGAGUAACACGUGGGUCACCUACCUAUUCGACUCGACUAACUCCGGGACACCGGGUCUAAUGCCGUAUCACCUUUAGACCCGCAUGGUUCUAACGUGCAAGAUGGUUUUGCUAUCACUUAUCGAUGGUCCCGCGCCGUGUUAGCUAGUUGUUAAGGUAACGGCUUACCACGGCAACGAUGCGUAGCCGACCUCAGAGGGAGAACGGUCACAGAGGAACUGAGACACGGUAGAGAGGCGUACGGGAGGCAGCAGGAGGGAAGCGGCCGCAAUGGGCGAAAGCCUGACGGAGGAACGCCGCGUGAGGGAUGAAGGUGUGCGGAGCGGAAAACUCUGUUAAGAGGGAAGAAGAAAGGGGUAAGUAACUGGGAACGUCUUGACGGUAGCGAAAAAGAAAGCCACGGCUAACUACGUG
rnacentral:rRNA from 1 species